GUGUGUGUGUGUGUGUGUGUGUGUGUGUGUGUGUGUGUGUGUGUUUGCGUGUGUGUACUGAUGCAGUGAGAGCUGUGAGGAUAAAGCAGAGAGCGGUGAAGGGAUGCAGAGGAGAAUGGAGGGAGCCAAAUAAUCCCUCUGUCUGUGUACUCUUUCACUCUUUCCUUUCAUUUCUUUCUCUCUCCUGUUAGCAGACGGAUAGUCCUGAAGAUGAUUCACUGUGCUGUGGAAUCUUUUCCAACUCAAAUUCUUUGCAAUCUCUCUCUCUGUUUUUCUUUCUAUUAUUUUAUAUCCAGUAAUGCUACAGGGUGUCCUAGAGGGCCCUGGAGAAUUUCAGUAAAAAGGCAUUUGAGAGAGAGCUGAAAAAAGAAGAGUGGGACCAGGAAAAGAGGCUGAAAGAAGAGAAGCACGCAGGAGGAAAGGAAUGUGGCUCUGAGGACGGAAGAGCACCUGCUGCCCUUCACAACCUAUUUCCUGGGCUAAAGAAAUGGUACAGAGGAAAAGGCCACUGAGGAAAAGAAAAUAUCCUGCACAGACAAUCUCUUUUCCAAUCCUGACAUGAUGCACAAUACUUCUAAAUGAACUGUUUCUUCUCUGUGAUGCCACAUGGAAGUCAGUUUUGGCGGUACGUCAUCAAAUGUUUAUAUGUUAUAAUAUCUCAGUUUUCUCAAUAUCUCAAUCUCUUUUAGGAUUUUUUUUUUAAAUUGGACUAAAAAAGACUGAGCACCUGAUGACUGUGCAGCUCAAAUAUCGGUUAGAGUUCUAGUCUCAAGGGGUGGGGGAGACAGCGACAUAUAAAAGCUCCCCCCCCCCCUUCUGUAUUCUUUCCAUCUAAGUGGCAGGGGCAACCAGCCAAAGCUAAAGCACAAGGGCUCAUUGACGAAAAUAAGAAUGCCGCUUGAAGCUGGGGCCCAAUCUCGCCCUCUCUUUUCCUUUAUUCUGCUCUUAAGGAAAGUUUAAACUCCUAUUUUUUUCCCAUUCUGCUUACCAAGCCAUGCAUCAUGCUUUAAGUCUCAUGCUCUCUGUCGAUGUCACACACGACCGCACACAGAGGAGGUAGAAAUGCAGCCUCAGAUUCCUGUUCUUUGCUGACAGGAGUCGAACACGAUGUGGUCUUGCCAUCUAGCUGUUGUAGUUCCAUCUGCCUCAAGG